AAGCUGUACAAGUGAGACUUAUCACAAGAUGGCGAACUUUACUUAUGCGAUGAUUGUAAUAGCUUGUCUUUUUGCUAUUUUUCAUGGAGCGAUGUUGACUAAUGCAAAAGAAGAUCGUACAAAAGAUGACUUCUCAACAAUCAGCCUCGACAUGAAACGCACCUUAAAACCUGAUCCAAGAAAUGUAACUUUGAAGACACAAAUUGCAUCCAUAAAAGCACAAAUAAUUACACUUCAAACAUAUCACAAAAAACUUGGCGCACAAAACAAACACCUUCAAACAUUUAAGUUAAAACUCCAAUCCAAAGUCAACAAGACAAAAGGACAAAUAUCAAACUUAUAACCUUGCGAAAACAAAUAAAGAAGCUCGAAGUUCAAAUGAUUAAGCUUUCCAUACAAAUGAAAACACUCGAAGCA